rnacentral:rRNA from 1 species
CCUACGGGUGGCUGCAGUAGGGAAUAUUGCUCAAUGGGGGAAACCCUGAAGCAGCAACGCCGCGUGGAGGAUGAAGGUUUUAGGAUUGUAAACUCCUUUUGUUAGAGAAGAUUAUGACGGUAUCUAACGAAUAAGCACCGGCUAACUCCGUGCCAGCAGCCGCGGUAAUACGGGGGGUGCAAGCGUUACUCGGAAUCACUGGGCGUAAAGAGCGCGUAGGCGGGGUAGCAAGUCAGAUGUGAAAUCCUAUGGCUUAACUAUAGAACUGCAUUUGAAACUGUUAGUCUAGAGUGUGGGAGAGGUAGGUGGAAUACUUGGUGUAGGGGUAAAAUCCGUAGAGAUCAAGAGGAAUACUCAUUGCGAAGGCGACCUGCUAGAACAUUACUGACGCUGAUGCACGAAAGCGUGGGGAGCAAACAGGAUUAGAUACCCGUGUAGUC